rnacentral:rRNA from 1 species
GACAGAGGUGCCAAGCGUUAGGCGGAAUCACUGGGCUUAAAGCGUGUGUAGGCGGAUUUGUAAGUACCUUGUGAAAUCCCACGGCUCAACCGUGGAACUGCUCGGUAUACUGCGAGUCUUGAGCCACUUAGGGGCUACCGGAACAAAUGGUGGAGCGGUGAAAUGCGUAGAUAUCAUUUGGAACGCCAAUGGUGAAAACAGGUAGCUGGGAGUGUGCUGACGCUGAGACACGAAAGCCAGGGGAGCGAACGGG